rnacentral:lncRNA from 1 species
AUGCUGAAAUCACUGAAGGUGCUUCAGAACUGGCUAAAUGUUCUUAAAAUAGUCAAAUGUCAUCCACACUCACUAGCUACAAAGCUGCAAUAUAAAGCGAAAAGAAACCAAAUGAUAAAGAUGCUUUGCAG